ACGGGGGGAACGCGAAGAACCUUACCUGGGCUUGACAUACCUCUGAUCGGCGUGGAAACACGUCUUCCCUUCGGGGCAGAGAUACAGGUGGUGCAUGGCUGUCGUCAGCUCGUGUCGUGAGAUGUUGGGUUGAGUCCCGCAACGAGCGCAACCCCCGUCCUAUGUUGCCAGCGGAUAACGCCGGGGACUCAUGGGAUACUGCCGGUGACAAACCGGAGGAAGGUGGGGAUGACGUCAAGUCAUCAUGCCCCUUAUGUCCAGGGCUUCACACGUGCUACAUUGGCGCAUACAGAGGGCUGCGAUACCGCGAGGUGGAGCGAAUCCCAAAAAGUGCGUCUCGGUUCGGAUUGGAGGCUGAAACUCGCCUCCAUGAAGGCGGAGUUGCUAGUAAUCCC
rnacentral:rRNA from 1 species